AUAACAAGCAACAGCAAUGUGCAUUGUGUUAGUGAAAAAAUAAUCAGUCAAAUAAUUAACUAACUUCAGCAGUAACACUAAAAAAUAAUAUGCAAUAAUUAUAAUAAUAUGCAACAAUCAUAAUAAUUUGGGUGCCCUAGUCCGAAUUGGCAUGGAUCGAACCCGACACGACCCACCCCGGCUCCACCCCACCCACCCUAGCCUGACCCACCCCAGCUCCACC
rnacentral:lncRNA from 1 species